rnacentral:rRNA from 1 species
GAUGAACGCUGGCGGCGUGUUUAAGACAUGCAAGUCGCACGGUGUCAUUUUGGUAGCAAUACUUGGAUGGCAUAGUGGCGCACGGGUGAGUAACACGUGAAUUACAUGCCCUGUAGAGGGGGAUAGCCCAGGGAAACUUGGAUUAAUACCCCAUGGUCUCGCAAGAGUAAAAGGUGGCCGCAAGGCUGUCGCUGCAGGAUUGGUUCGCGCCCUAUCAGCUUGUUGGCGGGGUAACGGCCCACCAAGGCUACGACGGGUACCUGGUCUGAGAGGACGAUCAGGCACACUGGAACUGAGACACGGUCCAGACACCUACGGGUGGCAGCAGUCGAGAAUAAUUCACAAUGGGGGCAACCCUGAUGGUGCAACGCCGCGUGGAGGAUGACGGUCUUCGGAUUGUAAACUCCUGUCAUCCGGGAGUAAGACCUGGGCAUUAACAGUGCACAGGGUUGAUAGUACCGGAAGAGGAAGGGACGGCUAACUUCGUGCCAGCAGCCGCAGUAACAC